rnacentral:rRNA from 1 species
UGCAGUCGAACGAAGUCUUCGGACUUAGUGGCGGACGGGUGAGUAACGCGUGAGAAUCUGCCUUCAGGUCGGGGACAACGACUGGAAACGGUCGCUAAUACCCGAUGUGCCGAGAGGUGAAAGGUUAACUGCCUGAAGAUGAGCUCGCGUCCGAUUAGCUAGUUGGUGGGGUAAGAGCCUACCAAGGCAGUGAUCGGUAGCUGGUUUGAGAGGACAAUCAGCCACACUGGGACUGAGACACGGCCCAGACUCCUACGGGAGGCAGCAGUGGGGAAUUUUCCGCAAUGGGCGAAAGCCUGACGGAGCAAUACCGCGUGAGGGACGAAGGCCUGUGGGUUGUAAACCUCUUUUCUCAGGGAAGAAGAUCUGACGGUACCUGAGGAAUCAGCAUCGGCUAACUCCGUGCCAGCAGCCGCGGUAAGACGGAGGAUGCAAGCGUUAUCCGGAAUUAUUGGGCGUAAAGCGUCCGCAGGCGGUCUCGUAAGUCUGUCUUUAAAGCGUGGAGCUUAACUCCAUAAAGGGGAUGGAAACUGCGAGACUAGAGGUAGGUAGGGGUAGAAGGAAUUCCCAGUGUAGCGGUGAAAUGCGUAGAUAUUGGGAAGAACACCAGCAGCGAAGGCGUUCUACUGGACCAAACCUGACGCUCAUGGACGAAAGCUAGGGGAGCGAAAGGGAUUAGAUACCCCUGUAGUCCUAGCCGUAAACGAUGGACACUAGGUGUUGCACGUAUCGACCCGUGCAGUGCCGUAGCCAACGCGUUAAGUGUCCCGCCUGGGGAGUACGCUCGCAAGAGUGAAACUCAAAGGAAUGACGGGGGCCCGCACAAGCGGUGGAGUAUGUGGUUAAUUCGAUGCAACGCGAAGAACCUUACCAAGGCUUGACAUCGUGCGAAUCCUGGCGAAAGUCGGGAGUGCCUUCGGGAGCGCAGAGACAGGUGGUGCAUGGCUGUCGUCAGCUCGUGUCGUGAGAUGUUGGGUUAAGUCCCGCAACGAGCGCAACCCACGUCCUUAGUUGCCAGCAUUUAGUUGGGGACUCUAGGGAGACCGCCGGUGACAAACCGGAGGAAGGUGUGGAUGACGUCAAGUCAUCAUGCCCCUUACGUCUUGGGCUACACACGUACUACAAUGGUCGGGACAGAGGGCUGCAAGCUCGCGAGAGCAAGCUAAUCUCGUAAACCCGGCCUCAGUUCAGAUUGCAGGCUGCAACUCGCCUGCAUGAAGGAGGAAUCGCUAGUAAUCGCAGGUCAGCAUACUGCGGUGAAUACGUUCCCGGGCCUUGUACACACCGCCCGUCACACCAUGGGAGUUGGUUUUGCCCGAAGUCAUUACCCUAACCGCAAGGAGGGGGAUGCCUAAGGCAGGGCUGAUGACUGGGGUGAAGUCGUAACAAGGUAGCCGUACCGGAAGGUGUGGCUGGAUCACCUCCUUUCAGG